UUUUACGGAGAGUUUGAUCCUGGCUCAGGAUGAACGCUGGCGGCGUGCUUAACACAUGCAAGUCGAACGGUGAAGCCAAGCUUGCUUGGUGGAUCAGUGGCGAACGGGUGAGUAACACGUGAGCAACCUGCCCUGAACUCUGGGAUAAGCGCUGGAAACGGCGUCUAAUACUGGAUAUGAGCUGCGGAGGCAUCUUCGUGGUUGGAAAGAUUUUUCGGUUUGGGAUGGGCUCGCGGCCUAUCAGCUUGUUGGUGAGGUAAUGGCUCACCAAGGCGUCGACGGGUAGCCGGCCUGAGAGGGUGACCGGCCACACUGGGACUGAGACACGGCCCAGACUCCUACGGGAGGCAGCAGUGGGGAAUAUUGCACAAUGGGCGGAAGCCUGAUGCAGCAACGCCGCGUGAGGGAUGACGGCCUUCGGGUUGUAAACCUCUUUUAGCAGGGAAGAAGCGAAAGUGACGGUACCUGCAGAAAAAGCGCCGGCUAACUACGUGCCAGCAGCCGCGGUAAUACGUAGGGCGCAAGCGUUAUCCGGAAUUAUUGGGCGUAAAGAGCUCGUAGGCGGUUUGUCGCGUCUGCUGUGAAAACCCGAGGCUCAACCUCGGGCCUGCAGUGGGUACGGGCAGACUAGAGUGCGGUAGGGGAGAUUGGAAUUCCUGGUGUAGCGGUGGAAUGCGCAGAUAUCAGGAGGAACACCGAUGGCGAAGGCAGAUCUCUGGGCCGUAACUGACGCUGAGGAGCGAAAGGGUGGGGAGCAAACAGGCUUAGAUACCCUGGUAGUCCACCCCGUAAACGUUGGGAACUAGUUGUGGGGUCCAUUCCACGGAUUCCGUGACGCAGCUAACGCAUUAAGUUCCCCGCCUGGGGAGUACGGCCGCAAGGCUAAAACUCAAAGGAAUUGACGGGGACCCGCACAAGCGGCGGAGCAUGCGGAUUAAUUCGAUGCAACGCGAAGAACCUUACCAAGGCUUGACAUACACGAGAACGCUGCAGAAAUGUAGAACUCUUUGGACACUCGUGAACAGGUGGUGCAUGGUUGUCGUCAGCUCGUGUCGUGAGAUGUUGGGUUAAGUCCCGCAACGAGCGCAACCCUCGUUCUAUGUUGCCAGCACGUAAUGGUGGGAACUCAUGGGAUACUGCCGGGGUCAACUCGGAGGAAGGUGGGGAUGACGUCAAAUCAUCAUGCCCCUUAUGUCUUGGGCUUCACGCAUGCUACAAUGGCCGGUACAAAGGGCUGCAAUACCGCGAGGUGGAGCGAAUCCCAAAAAGCCGGUCCCAGUUCGGAUUGAGGUCUGCAACUCGACCUCAUGAAGUCGGAGUCGCUAGUAAUCGCAGAUCAGCAACGCUGCGGUGAAUACGUUCCCGGGUCUUGUACACACCGCCCGUCAAGUCAUGAAAGUCGGUAACACCUGAAGCCGGUGGCCCAACCCUUGUGGAGGGAGCCGUCGAAGGUGGGAUCGGUAAUUAGGACUAAGUCGUAACAAGGUAGCCGUACCGGAAGGUGCGGCUGGAUCACCUCCUUUCUAAGGA
rnacentral:rRNA from 1 species